rnacentral:rRNA from 1 species
AGUGAACGCUAGCGGUGCGCCUAACACAUGCAAGUCGAGCGAACCUUCGGGUAAGCGGCGAACGGCUGAGUAACACGUUGGAAUCUACCCCAGACUCAGGGAUAAGCCCGCGAAAGCGGGUCUAAUACCGGAUAGUCUCGUAAGAGUAAAGCUUUUGCGGUCUGGGAGGAUCCUGCGACAUAUCAGGUAGUAGGUAGGGUAAAGGCCUACCUAGCCUAUGACGUGUAGUUGAUCUGAGAGGAUGAUCAGCCAGAAUGGAACUGAGACACGGUCCAUACUCCUACGGGAGGCAGCAGUGAGGAAUCUUCCGCAAUGGGCGAAAGCCUGACGGAGCGACACCGCGUGGUGGAUGACACCCUUUUCGGGCGUAAACACCUGUCCUGAGGGACGAAACUUUUGACGGUACCUCAGAAGAAAGCACCGGCUAAUUCCG